rnacentral:rRNA from 1 species
UACGAAGGGGGCUAGCGUUGCUCGGAAUUACUGGGCGUAAAGGGCGCGUAGGCGGCACUGUUAGUCAGGCGUGAAAUUCCUGGGCUCAACCUGGGGACUGCGCUUGAUACGGCAGAGCUUGAGGAUGGAAGAGGGUCGCGGAAUUCCCAGUGUAGAGGUGAAAUUCGUAGAUAUUGGGAAGAACACCAGUGGCGAAGGCGACUUACUGGACGAUUGUUGACGCUGAGGUGCGAAAGCGUGGGGAGCAAACAGG